rnacentral:lncRNA from 1 species
GUGAUUCUUUUGCCUCAGUCUCCCGAGUAGCUGGGACUACAGAUACUUCAAAUUACUUCUCCUAUGCAUUUGGAGAGCGGGAGAGAAAAACACCAGGAAGGAAGAGGGAACAAAGAAACUCUACAGGCAGAGACACAGGACUGAGCCGCGUUGGGGGCACUGGGAGGAGUGAGCCUUGGGGUUGCACCCUCGGAGCCCCACUGUCCUGGGAGCAGCCUUCAGAACCACCCUUUUGUUCUCUGAAGUACCAGGCGUUCAGCUUUUCCAAGGACUGGCAGCUGCACAUCUUUGUCCCUGCCCCUUCCAUCUCUAGGCUCAGCCCCGCUGGGCAGCCUGGCCCACUCCCCACCCCUGCCCAGGGCCAACCCCUACUUCCCAUGCCCCCUCUGCCCACCUGCAGCACACUGGAGCCUUGGAGGCCCUCUCUGCAUCAUUCAAGAUGCAGACUCCUACACUUUGACCUGCACACAUCCUCCUGAAGCUUCCACUUCCUGGCCCCUGCCUGGCUUCUCACCUCCCCCACCUCCGCCCCCCAGGGGAUGUGCCGCCUCUCCCAGUGGCCCAGGACAUCCUCCACUUCCCGGGAACCCCAGGCACUUCCACAUCCUCAGACACAGUGAGAAGAUGACCCUCUCUCCAAGCCAGGAAGAGACCUCCCGAGGAGCCCAGCCAGCCAGCACGCUGACCUCCAACGUCCAGCCUCUGGAAAUGGGAUACCGAAGGCUGCGCUCCUGCCCCGCACCAGGAUGUGGGAACUUUGAGAACCGCUGGAGAGUCGAGAGAUGUCAUCGAAACGACACCCGAUACGUGUUCCCUGAGCAUCCGUUUUGUAGUGAAGACACUCGUACUGUUGACGCCUGCUGCGGUAAGCGGAGACAGGGCAGGGCGAUCAGGAGCAGCGUGAGCCAAAGGAGGACCAUCGGGAACGCAGCUCCGGAACGCAGGACAGAGGUGCCUGCUGCAGGAGAAACGAGAGUCAGGCAGCGGGGACUGGCUGUGAAACUGGGUUGCGGGUAAUGAAGGAUGCUUGCCCCUUCCAGAGCCUGGUGCUCACAGCAGAAGGAGCUGCUUCUGGAGGGAAAGCGGUGAACAUUGUCACGACCCCAAAAGGAGACUCCAGACCCAUUAAAGACCCGUCCUUCCUCUUCCCCAGCCUGUGGCAACCACUCAUCCACUUUCUGUCUCUGUGGAUUUGCCUGUAUCUGGACAUAGGGAAUAAAUGGAAUCAUACAGACACUAUGUAUCUUUUUGUAUCUGGCCUCUCUCAGGAAGCAUGAUGUCCUCAGCAUUCACCCACAUUGCCACCUGUGGCAGAGCCUCGUUCCUUUUCAUGGCUGUGUAAUAUUCCACCGUGUGGCUGGACCACAUUAUAUUUCUCCAUUCAUCUAUAGAUGGGUAUGAGGACUCUCUCCACCUCUUGGCUAGUGUGAAUAAAGCUGCUUAUUCCUUUUCAUGGCUGUGUAAUAUUCCACCGUGUGGCUGGACCACAUUAUAUUUCUCCAUUCAUCUAUAGAUGGGGUAUGAGGGCUGUCUCCACCUCUUGGCUAUUGUGAAUAAAGCUGCUUGUUCCUUUUCAUGGCUGUGUAAUAUUCCACUGUGUGGAUGGACAUUAUAUUUUUCCAUUCAUCUAUAGAUGGGUAUGAGGGCUGUCUCCACCUCUUGGCUAUUGUGAAUAAAGCUGCUUGUUCCUUUUCAUGGCUGUGUAAUAUUCCACUGUGUGGAUGGACAUUAUAUUUCUCCCUUCAUCUAUAGAUGGGGGUAUGAGGGCUGUCUCCACCUCUUGGCUAUUGUGAAUAAAGCUGCUUGUUCCUUUUCAUGGCUGUAUAAUAUUCCACUGUGUGUCUGGACCACAUUAUAUUUCUCCAUUCAUCUAUAGAUGGGUACGAGGGCUGUCUCCACCUCUUGGCUAUUGUGAAUAAAGCUGCUUGUUCCUUUUCAUGGCUGUAUAAUAUUCCACUGUGUGGCUGGACCACAUUAUAUUUCUCCAUUCAUCUAUAGAUGGGUAUGAGGGCUGUCUCCACCUCUUGGCUAUUGUGAAUAAAGCUGCUUGUUCCUUUUCAUGGCUGUGUAAUAUUCCACUGUGUGGCUGGACCACAUUAUAUUUAUCCAUUCGUCUAUAGAUGGGUAUGAGGGCUGUCUCCACCUCUUGGCUAUUGUGAAUAAAGCUGCUUGUUCCUUUUCAUGGCUGUGUAAUAUUCCACCGUGUGGCUGGACCACAUUAUAUUUAUCCAUUCGUCUAUAGAUGGGUAUGAGGGCUGUCUCCACCUCUUGGCUAUUGUGAAUAAAGCUGCUUGUUCCUUUUCA